CGCUCUUCCAAACAGAAAGGAAAUAACAAUAUCAAUAGUAAUAACAACAACAGUGGCAUCAAAUCAUGUAGAUUUGAGAUGUUGGCGGUGUCACGGCAUCAGCGACGGCAUUAAAAAGAACAGCUUGAAAUGAUGCUUAGGAGUAGUGUCGCUGUGGAAGUUAGUGUAUCAUUGCCUGUGAAACGGAAAAAUUUUACUUCCAAGAGGACCUGCUCCGUGGGUGGACGCAACCCCCCCCCCCCUUCCUUUUAUUGACUUUUUCAGGUUCUGGUCUUCUGUUAUUAGGGAAGCAAACAAAUCAAUAUACUACACUAUGGCCAAGUGCAGACGGGAGUGCUCCAGCCCACUGUCGCGAGCUCCUUCACCAAUCAUCUGGCCCGCAGCACGUCCUUGCUGUCUGCCCACAUUUGCAUUGCAGAUCGGCAGAGGCAGUUGCACAACAGUUGUUUUUCACUCAUUACUCACAUAAAUCAAACUGGAGGGCUACCGUAAGCACGCUCAGGCAGAGCUAAAUGUAAAAUAACACUUUCGUUAAAGAAUCAUUUUGCCUGCAUUUGAUUUCUGACUUGAUUUAUGUAUUGAUUAAUGUAAUGUCUAUAAAAAUCAUGUGGGUUUUAAAAGUA